rnacentral:rRNA from 1 species
GACGAAGGGGGCAAGCGUUGUUCGGAAUUACUGGGCGUAAAGGGCGCGUAGGCGGCUCUGUAAGUCAGGCGUGAAAGCCCCGGGCUCAACCUGGGAGUGGCGCUUGAUACUGUGGGGCUAGAGAGCGGGAGAGGAUGGUGGAAUUCCCAGUGUAGUGGUGAAAUACGUAGAGAUUGGGAAGAACACCAGUGGCGAAGGCGGCUAUCUGGACGGUUUCUGACACUAAGACUCGAAAGCGUGGGGAGCAAACAGG